rnacentral:misc_RNA from 1 species
AAAAAAAAAGAAAAAGAAAAUAGAUUUUACACAUCAACGGUGACCUGCAACAGCUAUCGUCAUUUACAAUAAGGUCUAUACCACUUCCCUAAAAUCAACAUCAUUUUCAAGAAAGACCACUCAGCUAAGAGCAAAGCAGCUCAUGCAUUCAAUGGAUAAUAUUACAUGAUAAAUAUAUUGGCAGUAUGAAAGAAUUAGCAAUCAUGCCUACUUCAACCAGGGUAUGUAUCAUCACUCACAAGAAUUAACAAACUUGAAAAGAAGUUAGAGAUGACGCAGAUACAACUAGUAUGGCUACAUUGGACCAUCUGCACAAAAACUAACCAUUUAAAUUUCAAUGUAAUGCAGAAAAAGUGACUAGAACUAGAAAUACUAAGAACACCUACAGGUCAUAAAAACUAAAAAAACAAAUAUCCUGCCGACAACCAAUAAUCAAGCACACCGUAUCAGCAAAGAGGAUCUAAAACAAGUAACAAGAAAUAGAAAUCAGAACUAUUAAUAUGUGGCCAGCAUCUUUAAAACAACACAAUGAUAAAUAAAUUAAAUGAUAAGCAGUAGAUAUUUAAGGUACCAAUGCAACUGAGUUAAUUAAAAAUCAUAACUUUUUAUUACCUGAGCUUGACUCAACCUAAACCCAAUAAAUUAGCCAAAGCUACGUCUAUGCACUAUCUAAAGCAAUGCAAACAUUUCUCAGACUUCUAAUGUCAGAAUUAUGGCAAUUUGGUUUUACUUUAGAGACGUGUAUUGUAAGCAUUUUCUCUUUCUUCUUUUUUCUCUCUCUUUUGUUCUUUAUUACCUAUCAUCUUUUUUCCCCCUUCCAUCUCUACUGCAAACUACUGGCUAUGUCAAUCUUCACAGCACAUAGACAGCCUCCAUUUUUUGUUCUUUUCUUGUUUUAUUCGCCCACAAAUAUGGCCCAAUUACUACACCAUUCAAAACCCCAACUCCUAAAUACUUUCCAGCUUUUCCUCCAAAUUCAACACUAAAUCCAAUAAUUAACUGCUGUCCCAGUAAACCUGCUAGCCAUAUCUUAAUCUCCUGCCCAAUACAAUCCUUAAAAAAUCCCUUCUCAACACCAACUUCAUCUACAAACCGCAAGCAGCUUCAGCAGACUUCACAAACCCUAAAUUUGACUUUACCAUAGCCAACCAGGGCCAUUAGCACCAGAGAGCACAAGAAUGCAUAUUGCUCAACUCUGCCCUAUCAUAAAAAGACCAUUAAUUGAAAGAAAUGUACAGUUCUCUUCUAAGCCGUUAACCUCAAUGCGAUUAUAUAGCUCAUAAGAUUCACAGGAUAAGGUGAUGUAGAACUAGGAAUCUUAGGGAGCAAGAGAAACGAAUUCUCAAAAAUAAUGAGAAGCAAAUUCUCAGAAAUUGGGGGAGAAACACAUUCUCAAAAAAUGCUUUAUUUAAUAGUCAAUAAUUCAUAAUAAUCAAACUAAUAAUAAUAGAAGACUUAGCUCUAUUUAUAGACCUUACAAUCCUAAUCGAAUCAGGAUUAGAAGCCCUAAUUCAAA